GGCCACAGGCUUAAUCAUUCACUCUACACCAGUUACACCUGACCUCGGUGGCGUCUCCCACUGCUCCAGUGACCACCCGGAUCACUGAAUAACUGCAGGACAUGGGGUUUAACGCCUCAUGGGAGCCCUGGCGAUGAUGUUUCCAAACCACACGGAUGCCGGCACUUAGGACCAAUAAGGAGAGGAUAAGGCAAGUUUGAGCUCCUGGUCUGCUUCCCGUCACAUUGGGUCACACCUUGGCUGCAGCAGAGCCCUUCUGUCCCAGGCAUCGCUGGCAUCAAGCCAUUAGAAAUGCACACACAAAUAGAAGAAACAGCUGCUUGGGGACAUUUUCCCAUGUGACUAGAAAUGGAUGGGCCCACGUAACUCAAUGGUUGGAUGAUACAAAGCCCAGCAUGGCAUGGCUGGCCCCCACUUGCAGGUUUGAUGUUCACACCAGACGUCUCCAGAAACCCAGCACUCCC